rnacentral:rRNA from 1 species
AUUGAACGCUGGCGGCAUGCCUUACACAUGCAAGUCGAACGGCAGCGCGGACUUCGGUCUGGCGGCGAGUGGCGAACGGGUGAGUAAUACAUCGGAACGUACCCUGUUGUGGGGGAUAACUAGUCGAAAGAUUAGCUAAUACCGCAUACGACCUGAGGGUGAAAGUGGGGGACCGCAAGGCCUCAUGCAGCAGGAGCGGCCGAUGUCUGAUUAGCUAGUUGGUGGGGUAAAGGCCCACCAAGGCGACGAUCAGUAGCUGGUCUGAGAGGACGAUCAGCCACACUGGGACUGAGACACGGCCCAGACUCCUACGGGAGGCAGCAGUGGGGAAUUUUGGACAAUGGGGGCAACCCUGAUCCAGCAAUGCCGCGUGUGUGAAGAAGGCCUUCGGGUUGUAAAGCACUUUUGUCCGGAAAGAAACCGCGCUGGUUAAUACCUGGCGUGGAUGACGGUACCGGAAGAAUAAGCACCGGCUAACUACGUGCCAGCCGCCGCCGUAA